rnacentral:rRNA from 1 species
GAUGAACGCUGGCGGCGUGCCUAAUACAUGCCAGUCGAGCGAACAGACGAGGAGCUUGCUCCUCUGACGUUAGCGGCGGACGGGUGAGUAACACGUGGAUAACCUACCUAUAAAACUGGGAUAACUUCGGGAAACCGGAGCUAAUACCGGAUAAUAUAUUGAACCGCAUGGUUCAAUAGUGAAAGACGGUUUUGCUGUCACUUAUAGAUGGAUCCGCGCCGCAUUAGCUAGUUGGUAAGGUAACGGCUUACCAAGGCAACGAUGCGUAGCCGACCUGAGAGGGUGAUCGGCCACACUGGAACUGAGACACGGUCCAGACUCCUACGGGAGGCAGCAGUAGGGAAUCUUCCGCAAUGGGCGAAAGCUUGACGGAGCAACGCCGCGUGAGUGAUGAAGGUCUUCGGAUCGUAAAACUCUGUUAUUAGGGAAGAACAUAUGUGUAAGUAACUAUGCACGUCUUGACGGUACCUAAUCAGAAAGCCACGGCUAACUACGUG